GACGAACGCUGGCGGCGUGCUUAACACAUGCAAGUCGAACGGAAAGGCCCUGCUUUUGUGGGGUGCUCGAGUGGCGAACGGGUGAGUAACACGUGUGUAACCUGCCCUUGACUUUGGGAUAACUUCAGGAAACUGGGGCUAAUACCGGAUAUGAGCUCCUGCUGCAUGGUGGGGGUUGGAAAGUUUCGGCGGUUGGGGAUGGACUCGCGGCUUAUCAGCUUGUUAGUGGGGUAGUGGCUUACGAAGGCUUUGACGGGUAGCCGGCCUGAGAGGGUGACCGGGGACAUUGGGACUGAGAGACGGCCCAGACGGCUAUGGGCGGCAGCAGUGGAGAAUAUGGCGCAAUGGGGGGGAGCCAGAGGCAGCAGCGCCGCGUGCGGGAUGACGGGCUUCGGGUUGUAAACCGCUGUGGCAGGUGACGAAGCGGGAGUGACGGUAAUGGGUAAAGAAGCACCGGCUAACUACGUG
rnacentral:rRNA from 1 species